rnacentral:lncRNA from 1 species
GAUGUCCCUGCGCGUUAGGCUAGGCGCUAUAGGAGACGGCGCUGACCGCGGAACACUGAAGCUGGAAUUCCCCGUGCUCGAGCCUUGGGCAGCCUGGCCGUGACACUCCAGGUGUCCGCAGGGCCAGCGGGGCGCCGGACUGGCACGCAGGACCAAGGAUAGAGCAGUGAUGCGGUGGAUGGCCCUGCGCAGCGUAGCGAUCUUGGAGAGCCUCUUGCCUCCGAGGUCAUGCUGCAGCGCCCGGCGGAGCGCGUUGAACGCCUCGUUGUAAUCCAGGAUGCGCUUGCGCUCCCGCACGUUAGCCGCCAUGCGCCGAGCCUUGGACCGUGUGGGCCGCUCGCGCUUUCUGCCAGCUGCCUCUUCUGCCUCGUCCAAGCUGCUCCUCCUCAGCACUCCAAAAUUCCUGCCAGCCUCCGAGCAGGAGCGCCCCAAGUCCUCCACAAAAUCCUCAGCCCGGUUCAGGCCCCCGAGGCCUAGUCCUGGCGUGCCUCGGAGCAUGGCCUAUGUCCUGGUCUCACAGCUUCAGCUAUUUGGGUCCAAAAGGCUGCUGGUCCACUGACUGAUGGCUCUUGCUGGCUGGACACUCUCUGGACAGGUCCUCUCUAGCUGGGCUUUAUGGCACCACGCGGCUCCCCGCCCUCCCAGUCCAUCCAUCUCCCUCCUCCUGCUUUAUUACCUGCCCCCAGGUGAGAUGGUGAGGGAGGACCUGAGAGGAAGGAAGCAAGCAAGGAAGGAAGCGUGCAGAUUCUUGUACACAGGACCAGCUGGGCAGCCUGGCCACGCCCUGGGCAAUGCUCCAGUUGUCACAGGGAACAUACUUGCUGUGCUGCACGGACCCUCUCCGGCAACCGGGUUCGGUUUCCCCUACUCCUGACCCCAGGUAGAAUGCCACAUUAGAUUCUUGGCAAGGGAGCAGAUAGGGUUGCAGAAGGAUAGCAAGGGUGGAUUGAGUGAAUUUUAAAAACCUUGAGGGCCGGAGAGAUGUCUCACCGACUAAGAGCACCUACUGCUGAGCUCCAUCCUGAACGCCAUCUGUGAGCAGCCAGAGUUGACACUAAGGUACAGCCUGGCCGUUGCAGAAGAAUCCAGAAAGGAGGAGCAGAUCAGAGGCAGCCAACCCUGCUGUGCUACAAGAAACCUUUCAGCUACCACCGUGAGGCUCGUCUGGAUUCUGGGUUGGUGUUUGGAUUAAGCCCAACAUUCCCCCUACUUUUGGGGGGGCUUCCCUUUCUUCAGGCAGAGCUGGGCUGAGUCAGAAGCAAAGAGUGAUGAGGACUUUUAUGUCUGGCUUCCCUUGCAAUACCCAUCAGGGAGCAACUCUUAAUGUCCAGGGCCUUUAAGCAGCCCAGUCCCUCUACAGAGUAAGGUCAGGUUAGGAAUCCAGGGCACUCUCUCCAUCGCUGUCACUGAGGACUGGAAUUUUAAACAAGAUCAAAAAAGGGAAAGAAAGAGAGGAAAAAGAUGGAAGGAGGGAAAGAAGGAAGGAAGAAAGACAGACUCCCCCAUGGAAUUUCAGGUAUGCAUUCAUGAUUUAUCAGGAGCAACAUAAGAUUAAGUUUAACCUCAUUCCCAGCCACAUUCCAAAUGCUGUGGCACCAGCCAGGAUGGGCACACAGGUCACACACAUAUUACCAAUGACCUCAUUGCUUUCAAGCUGAGUUUUCCUGCAGAGGGAAAGAACGGGGCACUGGGAAACCAACUGCCUGCAUUCACUGAUGAAAUAACCUAAAGGCUGUAUUUAUCAGGAUGGAUUCCUCUAAUAAGUUCAACAUAUGUGGAACAGAAAACAGCUAAGCCCAGCAUGUUGGCACACACCUGGAAUCCCAGCACUUGGGAGGCAGAGGCCAGCCUCAACUACAUAAUAGUUUGAGGUCAACCUGGGCUAUUGGAGACCUCACCUCAAAACCAAAACAGAACAAAAAGUUUAAAAAGUAGCUAGAAACUAGGCACAGUAGCACCUGCCUGUCAUCCCAGCACUCUGGAAGUCUGAGCCAAGAAGCUGAGGCCAGUGUGGACUGCUUAUGGAGAGAGAACUUGUUUUAGAAGAGGCAGGAGAGGGUGGGAGUGUAGCUCAGAGUAAGUGUCUACCCAUAAAGCUCCACAUUCCAAGCCUAGCACUACAAAACAAAAAACAAGCAAGCAAAGAACCAAUAUUCCCAGUGUCUGAGCACUAUCACCUACAUCAGGCCCAAGCAACAGGAUACCAGUUUAGAUGAAUCUCAGAAUGGAAGACAGGGCAGGCCAAAGCCUAGGCAUUGGGUGCCUGAGUGUCACAUUCCAUAUCCCACGGCUACCCUGCCAUGUCUUUUAGCUUGUUGAAGUCAUGGUAGACUGUUGAGUCAUUGCCCUGUCCGUCUAGGAGGACACUGGGACUCAGGGCCAUACCCAGCCUCUAAGAAAAGCCUAGCUCCGGGGUGGGGCACCUGAGCUGUUUGGUACGGAAGGAAGCUUGGUGGUGGGAGGGCUCUUCCUCCUGUCCACUCCAGCCAGCAGCUCCUUACUGAGGAAAUCCCUGUCAGUCACCUCAUCCACACACCUCCGUUUCUUCUGUUUUAUGUAGAAGAUACCUUCUCUGUGAGAGUUUAGACUGGGGGCUGGUGAGAGAAGGUUCAGUCCCUAAAGUGCCUGCUGUACAAACAGGAAGACCCGUUCAGCUCCUCAGCACGCACAUAAAAGCUGGGCUUAGCAUCUGUAGAAUCCCAGAGCUGGGUAGAUGGAGACAGGUGGGCCCUGGGAACUCCCUGGUAAGCCAGCCUAGCUAUACUGAUGAGCUCAGUGAGAGAUCGUAUCCCAAAGUUAAAAGGUGGAGAGCAACUGAGAAAACCACGUUGUUAAAUUGGGAUGGAUAGAGGUGAUAUGGAAAUAAAAGAGAGCAGACAGCUGGGCAUCUCCAGGAGCAGAAUUGUUCUUUUCAUCGCAACAGCUAAAGGGCCAUGGUUUCCUCCUCCGGAGUAGAGACUAUUUGCAUAAGGCACACAGAGUUUGGGGGUUGGGGGAUAGGGUAGAAAGGGAUUGGAUGAAAGAUUCCAUCUUCAGAGCAGUUUCCCUGCAGUCUCAAAGUAGUAGGCACCCAUAACAGCUGCACAUGCCAUUAAUCCCAGCACUUGGAAGGCAGAGGCAGAGCUCUGUGAGUUCAAGGCCAGCCUGGUCUACCUAGAGAAUUCCAGGGUAGCCAGGACUACCUAGAGAAACUCUAGCUCAAAACAAACAAAAACAGGACGGACAGUGGUCUGUGGAUCCUCUUUGGAACCUAACAGCUCACAGGUGUUAUGAAUCAAGUCAGCCCUUCCUGUCCUGAGCUUCUCAGUCCACCUGGACUUUCAGGUCCUUAACCCUUCAUGCCUGGUGUCACCCCACCCCCACCCCCACCCCAAUCUCUGCUUGUAUGCACAUACAUGUGUGCACACACUUGCCCUCACACAUACAUAUACUAUACAUAGGCACAUCAAAGAGAGAGACAGAGAGAGACAGAGAGACAGAGACAGAGGCAGAGACAGAGACAGAGUACAGACAGAACUAUGUCCCUUGUCAGGCCAAGUGUGAAGCCAUAUAAAAUGUAGAACCCUUGUUCAAAGUAUUAAGGAUUUGGAGGUGGAGACAGACAGCUUUUCACUGAACCCUGAUGUCUGGAAACACUGUACAGUUCCAGACCCAUGAGGGUACCAACGAGCUCAAGCUCUGGAUAGAAGUUCAUAUGUAACAAGACCUUCACUGCAGCCAAAGAUGGGCAAGCCCUGCACUUCCCAUCACUGUGGACUGAUGGAGAAGACCUAGCCAAGCUGUGCUUCCUCCUCCAUCUCCCGGGAGCUUCCAGGAAGCCGAGGGGAAGGUGCCAGUGGGUAAUAAAUAAGCUUAAAUUGC